rfam:Streptococcus agalactiae LMG 14747 ctg7180000010154, whole genome shotgun sequence.
AUAAUGAUACUUCUGCACGUUCGGGCUGCCAGCGAUAAAGGCCAGCGGGUGUAACUCCCAUGA